AAAUCCUGCAUCGGACAGUUUCGAAUUAAACCUUUAAAUCAUUCCCAAGCUUCAUAUAAAGUUUCAUUCUCUAACUUUAGAAAAGAUGUGAUGUCAUUUCUAAUCU
rfam:Gossypium arboreum cultivar AKA8401 contig_6591_5, whole genome shotgun sequence.